AAUAAACGUUGGCGGCGUGCUUAACACAUGCAAGUCGAGCGAGAAAAGUUUUCGGACUUAGUACAGCGGCAAACGGGUGAGUAACACGUGGGAAUCUACCUUUUAGUGAAGAAUACCCUCGAGAAAUCGAGGUUAAUGCUGCAUACGUCUCGCAAGAGAGAAAGAUGGCCUCUUUGCUGUCGCUGAAAGAUGAGCCUGCGUACUAUUAGCUAGUUGGUGGGUAAAGGCCUACCAAGGCUAUGAUGGUUAGCCGGCCUGAGAGGGUGUACGGCCACGACUGGAACCUUAGACACGGUCCAGACUCCUACGGAGCAGCAGUGAGGAAUAUUG
rnacentral:rRNA from 1 species